UUCCGUCACCACCAAAAGAGUUAAACACAGGGACACAUUUGAAGUCUCGGAGCCGGGUGUUGGUUCCGGUAGCGAUCGAGGGAAAUUAGUACCGAAGUCCGGGAUGGAAGAUGGCGAGAAAAGCUGUGUGUAUUUCUGCGGUGCCCGUACCGCAAACCGACACAGGUAGGUAGGAAGAAGAUUCUAAGGCCAACGGGAGAAGGGUUGUUAAGGAACUCGGCAAAUUGACCCCGUAACUUCGGGAGAAGGGGUGCUCCAGAGAUGGAGCCGCAGAGAAUCGGCCCAAGCAACUGUUUACCAAAAACACAGGUUUGUGCUAAAUCGAAGGAUGACGUAUACGAGCUGACGCCUGCCCGGUGCUGGAAGGUUAAGAGGAGAUGUGCAAGCAUUGAAUCGAAGCCCCAGUGAACGGCGGCCGUAACAAUAACGGUCCUAAGGUAGCGAAAUUCCUUGUCAGGUAAGUUCUGACCCGCAUGAAAGGCGUAAUGAUUUGGGCACUGUCUCGACAGCCCGCCCGGCGAAAUUGUAGUACCGGUGAAGAUGCCGGUUACCCGCGACAAGACGGAAAGACCCCAUGGAGCUUUACUGUAGCCUAAUAUUGGGUUUCGAUGUUGCAUGCACAGGAUAGAUGGGACACUGGGAAGCAAGUGCUUUGGCAUUUGUGGAGUGGCCGUUGGGAUACCAUCCUUGCGAUAUUGGAAUUCUAACCUGCGCCUUUGAAUCAAGGCGGGGGACAUUGUUAGGUGGGCAGUUUGACUGGGGCGGUCGCCUCCUAAAGAGUAACGGAGGCGUUCAAAGGUUCGCUCAGCUUGAACGGAAAUCAAGCAAAAGAGUGCAAACGCAGAAGCGAGCCUAACUGCGAGACUGACGGGUCGAGCAGUAACGAAAGUUGGAGUUAGUGAUCCGGUGGUAUGUGAGUGGAAAUGCCAUCGCUCAACGGAUAAAAGUUACCCUGGGGAUAACAGGCUGAUCUCCCCCAAGAGUCCACAUCGACGGGGAGGUUUGGCACCUCGAUGUCGGCUCAUCGCAUCCUGGGGCUGUAUUCGGUCCCAAGGGUUUGGCUGUUCGCCAAUUAAAGCGGUACGCGAGCUGGGUUCAGAACGUCGUGAGACAGUUCGGUCCCUAUCUGUCGUGGGCGCAGGAUAUUUGAUGGGAGCUGUUCCUAGUACGAGAGGACCGGAGCGGACGUACCUCUGGCGCACCAGUUGUUCUGCCAAGGGCAUAGCUGGGCAACUAUGUACGGAUCGGAUAAACGCUGAAAGCAUCUAAGCGUGAAGCCGACCCAAAGAUAAGAUAUCCCAUUGUUUCAAACAAGUAAGACCCCUUGAAGACUACAAGGUUGAUAGGCACGAUGUGUAAGUGGAGUGAUCCAUUCAGCAAGCGUGUACUAAUAGGUCGAGGGCUUGAUC
rnacentral:rRNA from 1 species